UGGGGAAUAUUGGACAAUGGGCGAAAGCCUGAUCCAGCCAUGCCGCGUGUGUGAAGAAGGUCUUCGGAUUGUAAAGCACUUUAAGUUGGGAGGAAGGGCAGUAAGCGAAUACCUUGCUGUUUUGACGUUACCGACAGAAUAAGCACCGGCUAACUCUGUGCCAGCAGCCGCGGUAAUACAGAGGGUGCAAGCGUUAAUCGGAAUUACUGGGCGUAAAGCGCGCGUAGGUGGUUCGUUAAGUUGAAUGUGAAAGCCCCGGGCUCAACCUGGGAACUGCAUCCAAAACUGGCGAGCUAGAGUAGGGCAGAGGGUGGUGGAAUUUCCUGUGUAGCGGUGAAGUGCGUAGAUAUAGGAAGGAACACCAGUGGCGAAGGCGACCACCUGGGCUCAUACCGACACUGAGGUGCGAAAGCGUGGGGAGCAAACAGG
rnacentral:rRNA from 1 species